rnacentral:rRNA from 1 species
CACAUGCAAGUCGAGGGGCAGCAUUUUAGUUUGCUUGCAAACUAAAGAUGGCGACCGGCGCACGGGUGAGUAACACGUAUCCAACCUGCCGAUAACUCGGGGAUAGCCUUUCGAAAGAAAGAUUAAUAUCCGAUAGUAUAUUAAAACCGCAUGGUUUUACUAUUAAAGAAUUUCGGUUAUCGAUGGGGAUGCGUUCCAUUAGUUUGUUGGCGGGGUAACGGCCCACCAAGACUACGAUGGAUAGGGGUUCUGAGAGGAAGGUCCCCCACAUUGGAACUGAGACACGGUCCAAACUCCUACGGGAGGCAGCAGUGAGGAAUAUUGGUCAAUGGACGAGAGUCUGAACCAGCCAAGUAGCGUGAAGGAUGACUGCCCUAUGGGUUGUAAACUUCUUUUAUAUGGGAAUAAAGUAUUCCACGUGUGGAAUUUUGUAUGUACCAUAUGAAUAAGGAUCGGCUAACUCCGUGCCAGCAGCCGCGGUAAUACGGAGGAUCCGAGCGUUAUCCGGAUUUAUUGGGUUCAAAGGGAGCGUAGGUGGAUUGUUAAGUCAGUUGUGAAAGUUUGCGGCUCAACCGUAAAAUUGCAGUUGAAACUGGCAGUCUUGAGUACAGUAGAGGUGGGCGGAAUUCGUGGUGUAGCGGUGAAAUGCUUAGAUAUCACGAAGAACUCCGAUUGCGAAGGCAGCUCACUAGACUGCAACUGACACUGAUGCUCGAAAGUGUGGGUAUCAAACAGGAUUAGAUACCCUGGUAGUCCACACAGUAAACGAUGAAUACUCGCUGUUUGCGAUAUACAGUAAGCGGCCAAGCGAAAGCAUUAAGUAUUCCACCUGGGGAGUACGCCGGCAACGGUGAAACUCAAAGGAAUUGACGGGGGCCCGCACAAGCGGAGGAACAUGUGGUUUAAUUCGAUGAUACGCGAGGAACCUUACCCGG